CAAAGGGUAGUUUAAUAAAAAUAUUAGUUUUGGAGAUUAAAGAUAAGAUUUUAUAUUUCCUUUGA
rnacentral:tRNA from 1 species